ensembl:lncRNA
GGGAAGACAGAGAGGGGCGGGGCUUCGUCCUGCCGCGCUCGCAUUUCGCAUUUCGUCUCGGAAGCGAGGGCACCUCGCUCUGGCAGCCGCAGCGGGUUGUAGCCUCCGCCUUCUUUCGGCACUUUCCAGAAACAUCCUUGUUGGAGGUCCACCCUCCUUCAGAAGCCCCUUCUCAAACCCCUGGUCCCAGCAGCAGCCGAAUAGCAGCGCUGUCUGCUCUACAGCCUCCUCUUUGCUGCUGCUGCUGCUGCUAAGUCGCUUCAGUUGUGUCCGACUCUGUGCGACCCCAUGGACAGCAGCCCACCAGGCUCCACUGUCCCUGGGAUUCUGCAGGAAUGAGAUGUAAGCCAGGAGGCAAGCCUGAGGCCGAGAAGCCCCCAGGGAUGGCAGUCUCUCCUGCAGGACUGGAUGUGGCCAGGGCUGAGGUCAAGGCCCCGAGGGCAGCCGUGGGCAAGCUGCUCCAGCAAAGCUCAGCCGCUGCACCUUACCUUGGACGAGGGGUAUCUCCUCACAGCCGCCCCUCCUGACCUUGAAAGUGGAGUAGCUCCUCUCAGCCCUCCUGCGCUCGCACAGCCACCGCUCCUUGGACAUGAGGUUGCUCCUCUCGGCUGACGCCCCUGGCAUCGGGCAUGGGGUAGCUCCUCCUGGCCGCCACCCCUGACCUCGGGCAUGGGGUAGCUCCUCCCUGCCGCUCCUGCGCCAUCACAGCCUGGCACUCCUGGCCGCCGCCCCUGACCUCGGACGUGGGGUAGCUCCUCUCGGCUGCCGCCUCUGACCUUGGGCAACGGGUAGCCCCUCUGGGCCACACUUCUGCAUGGUCUGUGGCAGCUGGGUGCUUCUGCGCGGUCCGUCGCAGCUGGUACACUUCAUGUCCAAGUUAAGUUGGGGCCUGUGACUGAGCACUGGCCAAUGGGAGUAAGAGGAGAGGUGAAGCCUAACUCUGCUGCUACUGCUGCUGCUGCUGCUGCUAAGUCCCUUCAGUCGUGUCCGACUCUGUGCAUCCCCGUAGACGGCAGCCCACCAGGCUCCCCCGUCCCUGGGAUUCUCCAGGCAAGAACACUGGAGUGGGGUGCCACUGCCUUCUCCAGGUGUGAGCAAUUUAAGAGUCUGUGUACUACUGCCUCUUUCUGUUCCUUAUGUUCAUAGAACUUGGAGCCUCUGUAACCCAUAUGAAGCAGCUACAAGGCACCAGAGGUCCGUGGGCUUGGACCCCAGAAUACCUGUGUGGAACUGAACUCCAUACCCACCUGCACUGGGACAUGUAU